rnacentral:rRNA from 1 species
AUCACUUGGGGAUAACCUGCGAAAGUAAGACUAAUACCCAAUUGACGUCUCUAGAAGACAUCUGAAGGAGAUUAAAGAUUUAUCGGUGAUGGAUGGGGAUGCGUCUGAUUAGCUUGUUGGCGGGGUAACGGCCCACCAAGGCGACGAUCAGUAGGGGUUCUGAGAGGAAGGUCCCCCACAUUGGAACUGAGACACGGUCCAAACUCCUACGGGAGGCAGCAGUGAGGAAUAUUGGUCAAUGGACGAGAGUCUGAACCAGCCAAGUAGCGUGCAGGAUGACGGCCCUAUGGGUUGUAAACUGCUUUUAUAAGGGAAUAAAGUGAGUCUCGUGAGGCUUUUUGCAUGUACCUUAUGAAUAAGGACCGGCUAAUUCCGUG